GCCUUCGUGGUGUAGUGGUCAGCACGCUGGGCGCGUAUUCCUGGGGUCCAUGGUUCGAAUCCCGGCGAAGGCG
rfam:Stegodyphus mimosarum contig74551, whole genome shotgun sequence.